AUACCUUUUCUGGCCUUUACAAAGUUCAGCUCUGUCAUAAGCAUUUGCGUGAUGACUCAUCACUGAUGAGUGAGCCUUAGAGUAGUAGUUUGCUCCUAUUUUUGAAUGCAAAUCAAUGCAAAUUGGAAGUUCUAACGGUGGCGGCGGAGCAUUGAGUCAAUUCAUGAGCCACGAUUGUAACAUUUCAUGCAAGCAUCAGCGAUGAGCAACCCUCUAUACCUCGCGCAGAAAUCCUGCCAGGAGAUUAUUUCGCUGUUCAACAUUGAGGGAGAAAUAAGUGAUUUGCCAACUGAUGAAUGAUAAUGAGACAUUGAAGGAGAUGGUGCAAAAUGUGGAGAAUCAAUUGAAUUAUGGCUUACAGAAUGAAAUUAUGAGAUGCAAGUGAAGAAGAAGACAUAUGUUAGAUAUACUUGUAUUGAUAGGAGCUUUGAUUGUGUUAAUAGCGUGUAAGGUUGAUAGGAGGUUGCAACAUCGCUUGCCGUGAGGUUUAUUUUCUGAGAAUUUUUUUUAUUAUAUAUAUAUUUGGCAGCUGUUUGUUCACUUGAACCGUAUUAGUCAGCCAUUUUAGAGUUGGCGUUGUGGGAGGGGGAAAGAUGGGCUGUUUUUGUUAACGUUAUUCUGUAAAUACAAAUUGUUUAGCUCAUGUUCCUGGGAACAUGCUGUCAAUGAACAUGACCGCCAGCAUCUUCCUCAGCUUUUCUCAUGGUUUCAAGUUCCACUUCAAGUUAUUUGACCUUCAGGACACAAUCUUCAAGAAUUUAGUUGCAUCAUCUAAAACAAUGACACAUGAACGAACACAAGUACAGCAGUCAGAAAAGUCUACGCACCACCAGAUACUAUCAAAAUGACUUCUGACAGGAAGAAAUUCAGAGUGACCUGCUGGGGAAGGAAAUACUGACAAUUUACGGCCUAGGAGCUAAAAUUUUGGAGGGCACAAAUCACGACUGUUGUCUCAGUUUACAAAAUGGUGCUCAGGCAGCAAUCGUUUCUCCUGAUUGGAGAUGAUGAGUACAUACAAGAAUCGACAAAUUCUCCAAGAGAAGAAAACAUAAUUUUGUUGUUAAGUAUUGUCUCACAGCAUUCUCUUGAUUCAAUCUGGCUAUGGGUUCUUCCAUAUCUGUUUUUGCUGCAA